ACGACUCGUGCUUGUCGCAGCGGCACUUGAUGGAGUGCUUGCACUCCUAGCAUGGUUAGCGGCGGACGGGUGAGUAACACGUAGGCAACCUGCCCUCAAGACUGGGAUAACUACCGGAAACGGUAGCUAAUACCGGAUAAUUUAUUUUGCAGCAUUGUGAAAUAAUGAAAGGCGGAGCAAUCUGUCACUUGAGGAUGGGCCUGCGGCGCAUUAGCUAGUUGGUGGGGUAACGGCCCACCAAGGCGACGAUGCGUAGCCGACCUGAGAGGGUGAACGGCCACACUGGGACUGAGACACGGCCCAGACUCCUACGGGAGGCAGCAGUAGGGAAUCUUCCGCAAUGGGCGAAAGCCUGACGGAGCAACGCCGCGUGAGUGAUGAAGGUUUUCGGAUCGUAAAGCUCUGUUGCCAAGGAAGAACGUCUUCUAGAGUAACUGCUAGGAGAGUGACGGUACUUGAGAAGAAAGCCCCGGCUAACUACGUGCCAGCAGCCGCGGUAAUACGUAGGGGGCAAGCGUUGUCCGGAAUUAUUGGGCGUAAAGCGCGCGCAGGCGGUUCUUUAAGUCUGGUGUUUAAACCCGAGGCUCAACUUCGGGUCGCACCGGAAACUGUGAAACUUGACUGCAGAAGACGAGAUGAUCCACGUGUAGCGGUG
rnacentral:rRNA from 1 species